rnacentral:rRNA from 1 species
ACGUAGGGGGCAAGCGUUAUCCGGAAUUACUGGGCGUAAAGCGCGCGCAGGCGGUCUUCCAAGUCAGUGGUGAAAGCCUGGAGCUCAACUCCAGAACUGCCAUUGAAACUGUUGGACUUGAGUACGAGAGAGGUGAGUGGAAUUCCCAGUGUAGAGGUGAAAUUCGUAGAUAUUGGGAAGAACACCAGUGGCGAAGGCGGCUCACUGGCUCGUAACUGACGCUCAGGCGCGACAGCGUGGGGAUCAAACAGGA